rnacentral:tRNA from 1 species
GUUGGAAUGGUGUAGUGGUUAAAACACCUGGCUGGAAACCUGGAGACUGUGAGUUCAGGUCCCACCUUAGACA